UACGGGGGGGGCAAGCGUUGUUCGGAAUUACUGGGCGUAAAGGGUUCGUAGGUGGCCAACCAAGUCAGACGUGAAAUCCCUCAGCUUAACUGGGGAACUGCGUCUGAGACUGGAUGGCUUGAGUGCAGGAGAGGAACGCGGAACUCCAGGUGUAGCGGUGAAAUGCGUAGAUAUCUGGAGGAACACCGGUGGCGAAGGCGGCGUUCUGGACUGCAACUGACACUGGGGAACGAAAGCCAGGGGAGCAAACGGG
rnacentral:rRNA from 1 species